GCAAAAGUAAAAUCUACUUCUUAUUCUGAUUCAUUUGUGAUUACAACGGGCAAAUUUACAUAGUAUAAUGCGGCGUCUUAUAUUUUGCAUUGCUGCCAUAACUAAUUUGUGUUUUGCUAAUGUUGAAGUUAAAAGACCGUUAUAUGACCUUAAUGACGCUCCUCAAUUAUUCGAAAAAUUUACAAGAGAACAUAACCGAGUAUAUGAGAACAGAGAGGAUAGAAGGAUCCACUACGAAGCAUUCAAGAAAACAUUACAACAUAUCAAUAAAGCAACUGAGUUUUGCGAUUUGAGCCUCUUUGGCAUCAAUGAGUUCGCUGAUCAAAUAAAAGAUGUUUUUCCUGGUAAGCCCUCUAAAGGUGUCUCGUAAAAACUAUAUCGAGAAUUACUAACGUAGAAAAAAAUGCGAAAAAGAAAUAUCGAGUGAAAUGACGUUGGAGCAAUUCGUCAAGAAAUUCGGCACUUUUAUAUUGUGAAAAAUGUACCUUUCAAUAUAUUGCGAUUCAUAUA